GGGGGGGGGGGGGGGGGGGGGGGGGGGGGGGGGGGGGGGGGGGGGGGGGGGGCUUUUGGGGGUUGCGGGAGGGGCGGACGGGUGAGUGGCACGUGGGUAGCGGGCCGUGGACUGUGGGGUACCUUCUGGAGACUGGGGCUUGUACCGGAUAGGAGCUCCUGCUGCAUGGUGGGGCGUGGACAGUUUCGGCGGGUGGUGAGGGACUCGCGGCUUAUGAGCUUGUGGGUGGGGUAGUGGCUUACCAAGGCUUUGACGGGUAUCCGGCCUGAGAGGGUGACCGGCCACAUUGGGACUGAGAUACGGCCCAGACUCAUACGGGAGGCAGCAGUGGGGAAUAUUGCACAAUGGGCGGAAGCCUGAUGCAGCAACGCCGCGUGCGGGAUGACGGCCUUCGGGUUGUAAACCGCUUUCGCCUGUGACGAAGCGUGAGUGACGGUAAUGGGUAAAGAAGCACCGGCUAACUACGUG
rnacentral:rRNA from 1 species